rnacentral:rRNA from 1 species
CCUACGGGUGGCAGCAGUCGGGAAUAUUGCUCAAUGGAGGAAACUCUGACGCAGUGACGCCGCGUGCAGGAAGAAGGUUUUCGGAUUGUAAACUGUCUUUUAUAGGGAAGAAAAAAGACAGUACCUGUAGUAUAAGCUCCGGCUAACUACGUGCCAGCAGCCGCGGUAAUACGUAGGGAGCAAGCGUUAUCCGGAUUUACUGGGUGUAACGGGUGCGUAGACGGAGAAGCAAGUUAGUUGUGAAAUCCCUCGGCUUAACUGAGGAACUGCAACUAAAACUACUUCCCUUGAGUACUGGAGAGGAAAGUGGAAUUCCUAGUGUAGCGGUGAAAUGCGUAGAUAUUAGGAAGAACACCGAUUGCGAAGGCGACUUUCUGGACAGUAACUGACGUUGAGGCUCGAAAGCGUGGGGAGCAAACAGGAUUAGAUACCCCAGUAGUC